rnacentral:rRNA from 1 species
UACGUAGGGUGCAAGCGUUGUCCGGAAUUAUUGGGCGUAAAGAGCUCGUAGGCGGUUUGUCGCGUCUGCUGUGAAAACUCGGGGCUCAACUCCGAGCUUGCAGUGGGUACGGGCAGACUAGAGUGCGGUAGGGGAGACUGGAAUUCCUGGUGUAGCGGUGAAAUGCGCAGAUAUCAGGAGGAACACCGGUGGCGAAGGCGGGUCUCUGGGCCGUAACUGACGCUGAGGAGCGAAAGCAUGUGGAGCGAACAGG